AGUGAACGCUGGCGGUAGGCCUAACACAUGCAAGUCGAACGGCAGCACAGUAAGAGCUUGCUCUUACGGGUGGCGAGUGGCGGACGGGUGAGGAAUACAUCGGAAUCUACUUUUUCGUGGGGGAUAACGUAGGGAAACUUACGCUAAUACCGCAUACGACCUACGGGUGAAAGCAGGGGAUCCUCGGACCUUGCGCGAUUGAAUGAGCCGAUGUCGGAUUAGCUAGUUGGCGGGGUAAAGGCCCACCAAGGCGACGAUCCGUAGCUGGUCUGAGAGGAUGAUCAGCCACACUGGAACUGAGACACGGUCCAGACUCCUACGGGAGGCAGCAGUGGGGAAUAUUGGACAAUGGGCGCAAGCCUGAUCCAGCCAUACCGCGUGGGUGAAGAAGGCCUGCGGGUUGUAAAGCCCUUUUGUUGGGAAAGAAAAGCAGCAGGUUAAUACCCCGCUGUUCCGACGGUACCCAAAGAAUAAGCACCGGCUAACUUCGU
rnacentral:rRNA from 1 species